GAUGAACGCUGGCGGCGUGCCUAAUACACGCAAGUCGAGCGAACGGACGAGAGGCUUGCUUCUCUGAUGUUAGCGGCGGACGGGUGAGUAACACGUGGAUAACCUACCUAUAAGACUGGGAUAACUUCGGGAAACCGGAGCUAAUACCGGAUAAUAUUUUGAACCGCAUGGUUCAAAAGUGAAAGACGGUCUUGCUGUCACUUAUAGAUGGAUCCGCGCUGCAUUAGCUAGUUGGUAAGGUAACGGCUUACCAAGGCAACGAUGCAUAGCCGACCUGAGAGGGUGAUCGGCCACACUGGAACUGAGACACGGUCCAGACUCCUACGGGAGGCAGCAGUAGGGAAUCUUCCGCAAUGGGCGAAAGCCUGACGGAGCAACGCCGCGUGAGUGAUGAAGGUCUUCGGAUCGUAAAACUCUGUUAUUAGGGAAGAACAUAUGUGUAAGUAACUGUGCACAUCUUGACGGUACCUAAUCAGAAAGCCACGGCUAACUACGUG
rnacentral:rRNA from 1 species